rnacentral:rRNA from 1 species
UACGGAGGGUGCAAGCGUUAUCCGGAUUCACUGGGCUUAAAGGGUGCGUAGGCGGGUUUUUAAGUCAGUGGUGAAAUCUCCAGGCUUAACCUGGAAACUGCCAUUGAUACUACAGGUCUUGAAUUUUCUGGAGGUAAGCGGAAUAUGUCAUGUAGCGGUGAAAUGCUUAGAUAUGACAUAGAACACCAAUGGCGAAGGCAGCUUGCUACAGGAAUAUUGACACUGAGGCACGAAAGCGUGGGGAUCAAACAGG